CAGCAGCCACGGUAACACGGAGGGUGCAAGCGUUAAUCGGAAUUACUGGGCGUAAAGCGCACGCAGGCGGUCUGACAAGUCAGAUGUGAAAUCCCCGGGCUUAACCUGGGAACUGCAUUUGAAACUGUCAGGCUGGAGUCUUGUAGAGGGGGGUAGAAUUCCAGGUGUAGCGGUGAAAUGCGUAGAGAUCUGGAGGAAUACCGGUGGCGAAGGCGGCCCCCUGGACAAAGACUGACGCUCAGGUACGAAAGCGUGGGGAGCAAACAGGAUUAGAGACCCCAGUAGUCCCUGUCUCUUAUAA
rnacentral:rRNA from 1 species